rnacentral:rRNA from 1 species
GACGAACGCUGGCGGCGUGCCUAAUACAUGCAAGUUGAGCGCUGAAGGUUGGUACUUGUACCAACUGGAUGAGCAGCGAACGGGUGAGUAACGCGUGGGGAAUCUGCCUUUGAGCGGGGGACAACAUUUGGAAACGAAUGCUAAUACCGCAUAAAAACUUUAAACACAAGUUUUAAGUUUGAAAGAUGCAAUUGCAUCACUCAAAGAUGAUCCCGCGUUGUAUUAGCUAGUUGGUGAGGUAAAGGCUCACCAAGGCGAUGAUACAUAGCCGACCUGAGAGGGUGAUCGGCCACAUUGGGAAUGAGACACGGCCCAAACUCCUACGGGAGGCAGCAGUAGGGAAUCUUCGGCAAUAGACGAAAGUCUGACCGAGCAACGCCGCGUGAGUGAAGAAGGGUUUCGGAUCGUAAAACUCUGUUGGUAGAGAAGAACGUUGGUGAGAGUGGAAAGCUCAUCAAGUGACGGUAACUACACAGAAAGGGACGGCUAACUACGUG